rnacentral:rRNA from 1 species
GUAAUUCCGGUGAAGAUGCCGGAUACCUGCGACAGGACGGAAAGACCCCAUGGAGCUUUACUGUAGCUUGACAUUGGGUCUUGGUACUACAUGUACAGGAUAGGUGGGAGGCUUUGAAACCAGGACGCCAGUUUUGGCGGAGCCAUCCUUGGGAUACCACCCUUGUAGUACUGGGACUCUAACCAUAGGCCAUGAAUCUGGUCUUGGGACACUGUCAGGUGGGCAGUUUGACUGGGGCGGUCGCCUCCCAAAAGGUAACGGAGGCGCUCAAAGGUUCUCUCAGUACGGUCGGAAAUCGUACGUAGAGUGUAAAGGCAAAAGAGAGCUUGAUUGCAAGACAUACAGGUCGAGCAAGGAUGAAAAUCGGACUUAGUGA